UACGUAGGCGCCAAGCGUUAUCCGGAUUCACUGGGCGUAAAGCGUCCGCAGGUGGACUUAUAAGUCUGAUAUUAAAUAUCCCGGCUUAACCGGGAAAAGGUACCAGAAACUGUAAGUCUAGAGGCCGGUAGGGGCUGUCGGAACUUAUCGAGUAGGGGUAAUAUCCGUUGAUACGAUAAGGAACACCAAAGGCGAAGGCAGACAGCUGGGCCGGUCCUGACACUCAGGGACGAAAGCGUGGGGAGCGAACGGG
rnacentral:rRNA from 1 species